rnacentral:lncRNA from 1 species
CCAGCUGUAGCGACUCUUCAAACAUAGUUACUGAUUAACAAAACUUGACUUAGAGGCAGAAAUGAAAAUUUUAUGCAACUAGUUGGCUUAGGUUCACUUGUAUACUGUUUUAACAAGUAAAAAAAAAAAAAAGAAAGAAAAGAAAUAUGGGGAGAGGGAGGAACCCUGUGACUAUCAUUCUCCUUCCCUUUUAUCCUGCUUCUGAGGCUAAGGACUCUUCUUAAUUUCUCCUGUCAGAAAGGAAAGCAAUUUUGCCUUGAAACAGGUGUUAUGCCCAGAAUUCGUGAUCCCCAAAGACCACUAGGGAGCCGAGUCCGAUGCAAAAGCAAAGAGCCUUUAUUCGAGCUAGCUCGAGCUCAAUCCCCUACCUGCACCGACGCAGCGGUGAGAUACCAGGGAAAGAGCCCGAGUUUCAAAAAGGACAAAGGUUUUAUUGGGGCCUGGGGGCAGUUGGUGAGGUAAUGGCUGUGGCCUCAGCUGAUUGGCUGGGGAGGGUCCUGGGGAAGGGUCUGGCAGGUGAGGGAGGGUUUACUCAAGGGGAGGAGGUGUGGUCAAGGUGAAGGACACAGAACAAGAUGGCGAGGGGAGGAGGUGUGGUCAAGGUGAAGGACACAGAACAAGAUGGCGAGGGGAGGAGGUGUGGUCAAGGUGAAGGACACAGAACCAAGAUGGCGAGGGGAGGAGGUGUGGUCAAGGUGAAGGACACAGAACAAGAUGGCGAGGGGAGGAGGUGUGGUCAAGGUGAAGGACACAGAACAAGAUGGCGAGGGGAGGAGGUGUGGUCAAGGUGAAGGACACAGAACAAGAUGGCGAGGGGAGGAGGGUUUACUCAAGGGGAGGAGGUGUGUCAAGGUGAAGGACACAGAACAAGAUGGCGAGGGGAGGAGGUGUGUCAAGGUGAAGGACACAGAACAAGAUGGCGAGGGGAGGAGGUGUGGUCAGGUGAAGGACACAGAACAAGAUGGCGAGGGGAGGAGGUGUGGUCAAGGUGAAGGACACAGAACAAGAUGGCGAGGGGAGGAGGUGUGGUCAAGGUGAAGGACACAGAACAAGAUGGCGAGGGGAGGAGGUGUGGUCAAGGUGAAGGACACAGAACAAGAUGGCGAGGGGAGGAGGUGUGGUCAA